UGACCUCGGUUCAGGUAGGCAUACCCGCUGAACUUAAGCAUAU
rnacentral:rRNA from 1 species